CAGAACGAACGCUGGCGGCGUGCCUAACACAUGCAAGUCGCGCGAGAAAGUCCCCGCAAGGGGAUGAGUAAAGCGGCGCACGGGUGAGUAACACGUGGGCAACCUGCCCGAGAGACCGGAACAACCUUCCGAAAGGAGGGCUAAUGCCGGAUAAGACCACGGGGUCCUCGGACCCUGAGGUAAAAAGAUGGCCUCUGCAUGCAAGCUAUCACUCUCGGAGGGGCCCGCGGCCCAUCAGCUCGUUGGCGGGGUAACGGCCCACCAAGGCAACGACGGGUAGCUGGUCUGAGAGGACGAUCAGCCACACUGGAACUGAGACACGGUCCAGACUCCUACGGGAGGCAGCAGUGGGGAAUUUUGCGCAAUGGGCGAAAGCCUGACGCAGCAACGCCGCGUGAGCGAUGAAGGUCUUCGGAUCGUAAAGCUCUUUCGGCCGGGACGAAAACGUCGGGGUGAAUAUCCCCGGCCUUGACGGUACCGGAAGAAGAAGCACCGGCUAACUCUGUGCCAGCAGCCGCGGUAAUACAGAGGGUGCGAGCGUUGUUCGGAAUUAUUGGGCGUAAAGCGCGUGUAGGCGGUGAUGCAUGUCGGGUGUGAAAGCCCUCGGCUCAACCGAGGAAGUGCGCCCGAAACUGCAUCGCUGGAGUGCCGGAGAGGGUGGCGGAAUUCCCGGUGUAGAGGUGAAAUUCGUAGAUAUCGGGAGGAACACCAGCGGCGAAGGCGGCCACCUGGACGGACACUGACGCUGAGACGCGAAAGCGUGGGUAGCAAACAGGAUUAGAUACCCUGGUAGUCCACGCUGUAAACGAUGGGAACUAGGUGUGGCGGGAGUUGACCCCCGCCGUGCCGCAGCUAACGCAUUAAGUUCCCCGCCUGGGAAGUACGGCCGCCAAGCUAAAACU
rnacentral:rRNA from 1 species